UUUCAGUUUCAACUCUGCAGCGUGCAGUGAUCGGUACAGCAGAGACGCAUUAAGAGGGGGCACAGGGGACAAAUUACUAACCCCUCUCCCCCUUCCCCCGCUCACCCCACUGCCAGUUACUUUAAUAAUUGCAGCCACUGCUGCAGUGAACAGAAAUUCCGAAAAGGGGGCGGGGCUAAACGGCACUGUACACACAGUGCCAUGCCAGCCAGCAACAGCGUGGGCAAGAGGAGGGGAGAAGAGCAGCACAGCCUAAACAAAUCUGCUUCUGCACGCUCAAGUCUGGGCCACAUAUUGUGUUACUAAUGUAGGGGGUGGAGCUACAAUCAGAGCUUUCGUAUGUCAACAGCAGCACAGAUGGUUUCAGCUCAGCCAGCUCCUGCCUACCCAAGUCUCACGCACCGUCUUGUGAAGUUGUCGGGACACUCUUUGAAUUAAAUUCAGACAGCGACCAAGUCAUCUCAUUAUUUGAGAAACAUCAUUUUCGCCGACGAGAAUAAAUCAUUUAAAAGAUGAAGCCAGUAUAUGAAUGAGAUUCUGUCCUAUACUUUGAGCAUAACAAAUGUUCUCUGUGAUUGCCACUAGAUCAUGCAAUACACCAAUAAAAAGAGAAUGGAUUGCAGCUGUUCUGGGUGGAAAUAAGAAUUAUGACACUGACUAUAUAAAAAAAAUAGAGAUUAACAGGACAAUUAUAUUACUAAACAAAGAUGAGUUUCCGAAAGCCCGGUCUUC